CCUACGGGACGCACCAGUGGGGAAUAUUGCACAAUGGGCGCAAGCCUGAUGCAGCCAUGCCGCGUGUGUGAAGAAGGCCUUCGGGUUGUAAAGCACUUUCAGCGGGGAGGAAGGCGAUAAGGUUAAUAACCUUGUAGAUUGACGUUACCCGCAGAAGAAGCACCGGCUAACUCCGUGCCAGCAGCCGCGGUAAUACGGAGGGUGCAAGCGUUAAUCGGAAUUACUGGGCGUAAAGCGCACGCAGGCGGUCUGUCAAGUCGGAUGUGAAAUCCCCGGGCUCAACCUGGGAACUGCAUUCGAAACUGGCAGGCUAGAGUCUUGUAGAGGGGGGUAGAAUUCCAGGUGUAGCGGUGAAAUGCGUAGAGAUCUGGAGGAAUACCGGUGGCGAAGGCGGCCCCCUGGACAAAGACUGACGCUCAGGUGCGGAAGCGUGGGGAGCAAACAGGAUUAGAUACCCCUGUAGUC
rnacentral:rRNA from 1 species